UACAGAGGUCCCAAGCGUUGUUCGGAUUCACUGGGCGUAAAGGGUGCGUAGGCGGAUCGUUAAGUCGGGGGUGAAAUCCUGGAGCUCAACUCCAGAACUGCCUUCGAUACUGGCGAUCUUGAGUCCGGAAGAGGUGAGUGGAACUCCUAGUGUAGAGGUGGAAUUCGUAGAUAUUAGGAAGAACACCAGUGGCGAAGGCGGCUCACUGGUCCGGUACUGACGCUGAGGUGCGAAAGCGUGGGGAGCAAACAGG
rnacentral:rRNA from 1 species